CAGUCUUUGAUAUAAGACCCGAAACUAAGUGAUCUAACCAUGAACAGGCUGAAUUUAAAGCGGUAACGCUUAUUGGAGGGCCGAACUCGUGUAUGUAGAAAAAUACUGAGAUGAUUUGUGGUUAGGGGUGAAAGGCCAAUCAAACUUAGAGAUAGCUGGUUUUCUGCGAAAUCUAUUUAAGUAGAGCGUUUAAAAUUCUUUGUUUUAAGGUAGAGCACUCGAUAAAUAAAGGGGACGUAAAGUUUUACUGCAUUUAAUGAAACUCCGAAUAUAAAAGUAAAAGAUUUUAAGCAGACAGACUAUGAGUGCUAAGAUUCAUAGUCAAAAGGGAAACAGCCCAGAUUAUUUGUUAAGGCCCUCAAAAAUAAUUAAGUGAAAAAGAAAGUAAAAAAAUUUUAACAAUCUAUAGGUAGGCUUGGAAGCAGCCAUCCUUUAAAGAAA
rnacentral:rRNA from 1 species